rnacentral:rRNA from 1 species
UAACGGGGGGAGCAAGCGUUGGUUCGGAUUUACUGGGCGUAAAGGGCGCGUAGGCGGUCGUGACAAGUCACUUGUGAAAUCUCCGGGCUUAACUCGGAACGGUCAAGUGAUACUGUCGGACUAGAGUACAGAAGGGGCAACUGGAAUUCUCGGUGUAGCGGUGAAAUGCGUAGAUAUCGAGAGGAACACCUGCGGCGAAGGCGGUUGCUGGGCUG